GCCUCGGCCGUCCGGCGCACAGUUAACAACCAACUUAGAACUGGUACGGACAAGGGGAAUCUGACUGUCUAAUUAAAACAUAGCAUUGCGAUGGCCAGAAAGUGGUGUUGACGCAAUGUGAUUUCUGCC
rnacentral:rRNA from 1 species